AAAUAACACAAAAAAGAUCCAAAUUUGUGAAGCUCAACAGAUCCCAAGCACUUCUAUAUUUCCCGUCAUUAGGAAUCGGCAUUCCUAGCUUUGACCAUUGCUGAGGACUUAAAAUGAACUCCUUGGCGAUUUUAUUGGAAAAAUCUAACAAAGAUUUAGUUCUUUGAAAGCUUUCCCAAUGAGUUUGGUCGUCCAAUAAACCUAUACUUUGAGCUAAUGGAGUCAAUCUUAAAUCAGCAUUAUCAGCACGUGUAGUUAACCUAUACUCGCUUCUCGAAGUGAACACCCUAUAAGGUUCUUUCACACCUUUUGUAAUAAGAUCAUCGACCAUUACUCCAAGCAAAGCUGUAUUUCUCGGUAUGUCUACUGGCUCACGACCAAGAGCACUUAAACCUGCAUUUAAGCCAGCUAAGAUACCUUGCGCUGCUGCUUCUUCAUAACCCGUCGUUCCAUUUAUUUGACCGGCCAAG